CUCACGAAACACGUGCGCCUGACGUCAUUUCCUGUUAUUCUCUUCACUGGCUCCUCCCUCCGCGAAGGGUUCGCUGGGGCUGGGAUUUGGGGGCUUGCCCGCUUCCUCCCCUUGGUCAGGUGAGUGAGUGGCCGUGCUUCACCAGCCAGCCGCCUCAACUUCGGGUCUCCUGGUGUCUUGAGCCGUACCUGGAGUCGACAAGGCUGCGGGAUUCCUUGAGGUGAGGCCAUGAUGGUGGGGAUCUUCACGGCAAUGGACCCCGUCUGAGCGAUUGGCAAGAGCCCCCUCGACGCCCGAAUUGAACUUCCUGCGACAUCUCCAGAACUCCGACAAGAGCCCUCGCGUCCCAAGGAAUCUUCUAGAGCUGCAGAGAAAGCAAGGAGCUAUUCGACAGGGUCAGAACUGUGAACGUAACACCAGAAUCGGAACUGAAAUGCCUUUGUUUUAGUAUAUCCCUGUUGUUCGACUUGAGGCAACUCGCUUUUUCAUCUCUGGGCCUCAGUUUCUCCCUUCGGACUAUUUCAGCGAAUCUCGUUUUUUGUUGUUGUUGUUGUUUUGUUUUUGUUUUCCAGGCAUGGACUCCUUUGAGAAUCUGGGGAGAUCUGUAGACCCUCUCGACAAAAAGACGUAACAUGCAUACUAAAUUUUGCAAAAAGGUUUGGGCAGGUCACCUAAGUAGGUGAUUUUUAGGUAUCUUGUCUAUUUGUAUGACUCAUAACAGGCUGAGAAGGGGUGGGCUUCCCCUCAGCUGCCACUCCCUCCAACAGGAAGAGUGGUUCUGCGGAGUUCACUGCACCUCUCAGAGCACCUGUCAGCGCUGUAUGGGAAAAGAUGAUUCUCCUCAAUAGAAUGGGCUAAAAUUGGUCCUUGCCCAACCUUUAUGUGAAGUUGUCACCGGAACCAAAACUGGACCCUCCCACUCCCCAAUACCUUAGCUAUAAUCACCUAACUAGAUAGGCUGCUGAAAAUGUGUCUUUAACCUACCUACAGCUAGAUCUUGGAAGGCCUGACCCGUGUACAGGUCACUGGAUAAGGUGGUUAAAUCCUGCCAUGGUUGCUGGGUAAAACAUUCUAAAUCUCCUUGUUAGUAGGAGAGGCUCAGUAACUGACAACGGAUGAAAAAUGCCUGUUAAUUUCAAACUUCCAACAUCAAGCCUAAUAAUGCUAAUAAUGACUGUCCUCCACUAUGCAACAGCUAUGCACAUGUUUGCACAUUUAAUAUUCUUGUGAUUUUUGCCCAUUUUACAGAUGAGGAUAACUGGGACUCAUAACUUGUUCUGUCACCCAUGUUUCUGUGUCAUACAGUGCUAGAAAGUGACAAAAUAAGGAUUGAAACAGUCUCAAAAGCUUGGCCAUCCACUGCUGCACAUCUCUCAACAUCUCUUAGAAAAGAUUAAGAAACAGGAAAGUAUCCCUGGUGGUCUAGUGGUUAGGAUUUGGCAUUUCACUGCUAUGGCCAGGGUUUUGUCUUUGGUCAGGGAACUGUAAUACCUCUAGUUGCCUCAUGUGGCCAAAAUUAUUUAAAAAAAAAGAAACAGGAAAAUAUGCAUUUUUUCCCCCUCAGUGAAUUUCCCAAGUGAAUUUCAUCAUGACCAAAGAUGUGUUCUUAAGCUGUCAUUUGAAAAUACUGCUUCAGAUAAAACCACACAUUCUUGAGGACUAGGACUAUAUCUAGAUGAAUUGAAUUCCCAAAUCCUAAGACAGAUCCUGGAGGUUAGUAGGUGCUCCAUACAGUUUUGAUGAAAUCUUCAUUUUACCUUAUUUAUAGCCAUAUGGCAUUAAAAUACUAAAAAGUGGUUUUAAAUGCUUUGUUUUAGGUAAGCAUAUCUCUAUCAUAAAGUUGGAUGCUUUCUGAGGAUGUAGCUCACUUCUCGGGGAGGAUUUGGAAGGCAGACUCUUCACUUUGAGCCACUAGGGAAGCCCAUCAGAAAGCUAAGGUAGCUGUAAAAUGCCUUCAACAGCUGAUUUCCUUCUUGUUAGAAGAAUCUUACAAGUGAUGGAAAGCGUGGAAAACGUGCGUGUGUGCUCAACUGCUCGGUGUAUUCAACUCUGCCACCACAUGGACUCCAGCCAACCAGGCUCCGCUUGGUCCAUGGGAUUAUCCUGGCACGUAUACUGGAGUGGGUUGCCAUUUCCUUCUCCAGGAAAGUGAUUGAAUAGAGGAGACUUAACUCCAUCAAAUUAUACUGCAGAAACAAUUUAUAUAGGAAGAUAACUUUUGAUAAAAUAAAUUUUUUUUAAUUUUAAAAUCAAAACUUGAUUUUCAAAAAAUGAGAAGUUGCAUGGGACCAGUAGGGGCAGGGAGAGGAAGUCAACAAUAACAAUUGGCUUUCUGGUUUGAGCAACUGAAUGGGUAUUGUCUAUUUCUCUCUCUUUUUUUGGCCACGCCACACAGCACAGCAUGUGGGAUCUUAGUUCCUUGACCAGGGAUCAAGUCCACAUCCUCUCAUCUCUGCAUUGGAAGUGUGAUGUCUUAACCACUGUACUCCCUGGGAAGUUCCUGUUGCCUGUUUCUAGUGUCACUGUUGAAUCCAGUUGAGAGGGGACAGAUGAAGAACCACAAUUAAGUAGAAGAUCACAAUAAAAGCUGAUGAGGAAACUGAAGCCAAGAGAAGCUAAGUAACUUGUGCCUGAGGUCACACAGCUGGUGAGUGUUGGAUUUGGAAUUUGAAUGUGAGUCUGCUCUCACAUGGGCUGUGCCUUCCUGUGAUCUAAUACUUCUAAAUGAUGAGUUCAGUUUAGAUACAUUGACCUUGAGAGAUUUUGGAGGCAGCCACAUGGAGGUGUCCAAGGACCAGGAAGAGACACGGGUGUGAAGUUGAAGUGAGAGGUUUGGACUGGAAAGAGAUUGUAAAGCCAGCAUGCAGGUGGCUGAUGAAGCCAUAGGGAGGGCAAGCCCCACCCCCCGGAGAGGUGGGAACUAUCAGGAGGAGAGAAACAAGUGGGGCAGGGGGUUACUCCCUUGGAAUUCCAGUGCUAAGACUUCGUGGUGGUGGUGGUUUAAACACUAAGUCUUGUUCAACUCUUGUGACUCCAUGGGCCGCAGCCCACCAGGCUC